rnacentral:rRNA from 1 species
GAUGAACGCUGGCGGCGUGCCUAAUACAUGCAAGUCGAACGAGGUGCUUUUGUAGCAAUACGAGAGUAUCCUAGUGGCGAACGGGUGAGUAACGCGUGGAUGACCUGCCCCAAAGUGUGGGAUAACAGUCCGAAAGGAUUGCUAAUACCUCAUGUGGUUAUCGGUUUUAGAAAGCGAUAACUAAAGCAGCAAUGCGCUUUGGGAGGGAUCUGCGUCCCAUCAGCUAGUUGGUGAGGUAACGGCUCACCAAGGCGACGACGGGUAGGGGACCUGAGAGGGUGGCCCCCCCACAAUGGAACUGAAACACGGUCCAUACACCUACGGGUGGCAGCAGUAGGGAAUAUUGCUCAAUGGGCGAAAGCCUGAAGCAGCAACGCCGCGUGUGCGAUGAAGGCC